UAGGGAAUAUUGGUAAUCUGGGAAACCGGGAACCAGCAACGCCGCGUGCGCGAUGAAGGCCUUCGGGUUGUAAAGCGCUUUUUGAGAGGAUGAGGAAGGACAGUACUCUUAGAAUAAGUCUCGGCUAACUACGUGCCAGCAGCCGCGGUAACACGUAGGAGGCAAACGUUAUCCGGAUUUACUGGGCGUAAAGCGCGUGUAGGUGGUUCUGUAAGUAGGGCGUGAAAGCUCCUGGCUUAACUGGGAGAGGUCGUUCAAAACUAUCAGACUUGAGAGUGGUAGAGGGAGGUGGAAUUCCGCAUGUAGUGGUGAAAUGCGUAGAUAUGCGGAGGAACACCAGUGGCGAAGGCGACUUUCUGGACGAUAACUGACGCUGAGGCGCGAAAGCGUGGGGAGCAAACA
rnacentral:rRNA from 1 species